rnacentral:rRNA from 1 species
AACGCGAAGAACCUUACCAAGGCUUGACAUCGCCCGGAAAGCAUCAGAGAUGGUGCCCCCCUUGUGGCCGGGUGACAGGUGGUGCAUGGCUGUCGUCAGCUCGUGUCGUGAGAUGUUGGGUUAAGUCCCGCAACGAGCGCAACCCUUGUCCUGUGUUGCCAGCAUGCCCUUCGGGGUGAUGGGGACUCACAGGAGACCGCCGGGGUCAACUCGGAGGAAGGUGGGGACGACGUCAAGUCAUCAUGCCCCUUAUGUCUUGGGCUGCACACGUGCUACAAUGGCAGGUACAAUGAGCUGCGAUACCGUGAGGUGGAGCGAAUCUCAAAAAGCCUGUCUCAGUUCGGAUUGGGGUCUGCAACUCGACCCCAUGAAGUCGGAGUUGCUAGUAAUCGCAGAUCAGCAUUGCUGCGGUGAAUACGUUCCCGGGUCUUGUACACACCGA